GACACGAAGGGUGGAAUUUUGCAGUUGCUUUUGUGAAUAAUUAAACAGGAUUAUAGUUUUACGUUUUUAAUAGUUAAAUUUCUUGUAUGAAUUAUAUUGUUUAACAUGUUUUUUGAGUUUUCUUCGAAAAAUUUCAUCAUAUUGAGGUGGGAUGCCGUGGAGAUAUUUACGCCGUGUUUACAAAUGGUCUACGAAAAAAUGAUGCAGAGAGACACAUUUGAAAUUCUUCACUAUCUUGACUGAAUGGUGUGCCACUAUUGUUAUGACUUUUGUCUAACAUGAGCAUUACGUAGUGGCAUUCUUUUCGGUUCUCAGUGUUUGUUUUACUGCUACAACAGGAUUUUGAAGUUGGAUGAUCCAACCAGCAAACCUUUGUUCCAGAAUUUAUGUACCUGCUUAGAAUUGUCUUACCUGAAAAUUAACACAAUUCUACGCUUACCUACACCCUGCUGUAUGAAUGGCAUUUUCAUCUUGCCUGAAAAGUGUGCAGUAUAUUGUGGCCAAAGCCUGCUUUAUUUAUUUAUUUUUUUAAAUAUUCAUCUUUAUCCUCUUAUACAGGUCUUAUAAAGAAAAUUAAUGUAUGGUAUCAGCACUGUUUGUGUUU